rnacentral:rRNA from 1 species
UCCGUGCCAGCAGCCGCGGUAAUACGGAGGAUCCAAGCGUUAUCCGGGUUUUUUGUGGUUUUAAAGGGUGCGUAUGCGGCUUUUUAAGUCAGGGGUGAAAGACGGUAGCUCAACUAUCGCAGUGCCCUUGAUACUGAAGAGCUUGAAUGAACUAGAGGUAGGCGGAAUGUGACAAGUAGCGGUGAAAUGCAUAGAUAUGUCACAGAACACCGAUUGCGAAAGGCAGCUUACUAUGGUUUAAUUGACGCUGAGGCACGAAAGCGUGGGGAUCAAACAGGAUUAGAUACCCUGGUAGUCCACGCCCUUAAACGAUGAAUACUCGCUGUUAGCGAUACACAGUUAGCGGCUAAGCGAAAGCGUUAAGUAUUCCACUCUGGGGAGUACGUUUGCAAGAUUGAAAUUCACAGGAAUUGACGGGGGCCGCCCCAAGCGGAGGAGCAUGUUGUUUAUUCGGUGAUACGCGAGGACCUUAACCCGGGCUUGAAAGUUAGUGAAUCCUUAAGAGAUAGAUGAGUCCGCCAGGACACGGAACUAGGUGCUGCAUGGUGUCGUCAGCUCGUGCCGUGAGGUGUUGGGUUAAGUCCCGCAACGGAGCGCCACCCCUAUUUUUAGUUUCCAGCACGUUUUGGUGGGGACUCCUAAACAGACUGCCUGUUCCACCAGAGAGGAAGGAGGGGACGACGUCAAUUUAUCCUGGCCUUACGUUCGGGGGCUACACAC